GACAGAGGGUGCAAACGUUGCUCGGAAUCACUGGGCGUAAAGGGCGUGUAGGCGGGACUGUAAGUCGGGCGUGAAAUCCCUAGGCUCAACCUAGGAACUGCACUCGAAACUGCGUUUCUUGAGUAUCGGAGAGGAAAGCGGAAUACCUGGUGUAGAGGUGAAAUUCGUAGAUAUCAGGUGGAACACCAGUGGCGAAGGCGGCUUUCUGGACGAUAACUGACGCUGAGACGCGAAAGCGUGGGGAGCAAACAGG
rnacentral:rRNA from 1 species